AGGGGAGUAGCUCAAUGGUAGAGUAGCGGUCUCCAAAACCGUUGGUUGCGGGUUCGAGUCCUGUCUCCCCUGCCA
rnacentral:tRNA from 1 species